rnacentral:rRNA from 1 species
ACUCCUACGGGAGGCAGCAGUGGGGAAUAUUGGGCAAUGGGCGCAAGCCUGACCCAGCAACGCCGCGUGAAGGAAGAAGGCUUUCGGGUUGUAAACUUCUUUUCUCAGGGACGAAGCAAGUGACGGUACCUGUUUAGAAAGCUCCGGCUAACUACGUGCCAGCAGCCGCGGUAAUACGUAGGGAGCAAGCGUUGUCCGGAAUUACUGGGCGUAAAGGGCGCGUAGGUGGGCGCUUAAGUCAGGUGUGAAAACUCCGGGCUCAACCUGGAGACUGCACUUGAAACUGGGUGUCUUGAGGGCAGGAG